rnacentral:tRNA from 1 species
UCCCCGGUAGCUCAGUUGGUAGAGCAAUCGGGUGUUGACCCAUUGGUCGCAGGUUCGAGUCCUGCCCGGGGAA